UUCCAAGGGAACCAGGCCUCAGCAUCAGGCCUGUUCUGCCCUGGCCUCGGAUUGUAGCACUACGCCAGCCUGGGACAUCAUCGGCAUCGAUUCUACUCCAUCCUAUCAGUCACAAGGGAGCCACAGGCCAGCCCUGGGUUCCCAGGGAUGGAGAGACUCUGCUUCUGCAUGCGGGAAUGACACAGUCACACUGCAGAAGAACACGAGUGUAGAAGGCAGCAUCAUGGCCAUUUUUGGUAAACACAACCUGCUGCUCACCCGCCUUGCCCAAGCCUACCUCUUCCAGAAACUUCUGUGUCCCAAUUAUGGUUCACCUUGAUGUCCUAAAGUGCGUUUCUCUUCUACAACUCUCUUUUUGGGGAUGUCGCCAAUAAUCUAUAUUUCAACAAGAUGGAUAAAGCUGUGAAAAGGAUCGGAUUCUGCCCAGGACUUCAAGUAUGUGACCUCAGCAGAACUGACCAAUACAUUACUGGAGCAGAAUAAUCAGUCUUGAAAUAAACCCAUGGAUAAAGGAUGGA
rnacentral:lncRNA from 1 species